GUCUUUUUGGAAAAGCCACGUACACAGCUUGUGUUUACUAAACACAUUCUCCAACGUUCAGGUUUUCAGAUGUUCGGACAGACACGUCUGAACUCCAGCCACA